GAUGAACGCUGGCGGCGUGCCUAAUACAUGCAAGUCGAGCGAACAGACGAGGAGCUUGCUCCUCUGACGUUAGCGGCGGACGGGUGAGUAACACGUGGAUAACCUACCUAUAAGACUGGGAUAACUUCGGGAAACCGGAGCUAAUACCGGAUAACAUGUUGAACCGCAUGGUUCAACAGUGAAAGACGGUUUUGCUGUCACUUAUAGAUGGAUCCGCGUCGCAUUAGCUAGUUGGUAAGGUAACGGCUUACCAAGGCAACGAUGCGUAGCCGACCUGAGAGGGUGAUCGGCCACACUGGAACUGAGACACGGUCCAGACUCCUACGGGAGGCAGCAGUAGGGAAUCUUCCGCAAUGGGCGAAAGCCUGGCGGAGCAACGCCGCGUGAGUGAAGAAGGUCUUCGGAUCGUAAAACUCUGUUAUUAGGGAAGAACAAAUGUGUAAGUAACUAUGCACGUCUUGACGGUACCUAAUCAGAAAGCCACGGCUAACUACGUG
rnacentral:rRNA from 1 species